rnacentral:tRNA from 1 species
GGGGAUGUAGCUCCAUGGUAGAGGGCAUGCUUACCAUGUGUGAGGCCCUGAGUUCCAUCCCAGCACCCCCC